GACGAACGCUGGCGGCGUGCUUAACACAUGCAAGUCGAACGGAAAGGCCCUGCUUUUGUGGGGUGCUCGAGUGGCGAACGCGUGAGUAACACGCGAGUAACCUGCCCUUUACUUUGGGAUAACUUCAGGAAACUGGGGUUCAUACCGGAUAUGAGCUCCUUCUGCAUGGUGUGUGUUGGAAAGUUUCGGCGGUUGGGGAUGGACUCGCGGCCUAUCAGCUUGUUGGUGAGGUAGUGGAUUACCAAGGCUUUGACGGGUAGCCGGCCUGAGAGGGUGACCGGCCACAUAGGGACUGAGAUACGGCCAAGACUCCAACGGGAGGAAGCAGUGGGAGAUAUUGCAAAAUAGGCGGAAGCCUGAAGCAACAACGCCGCGUGCGAGAUGACGGCCUUCGGGUUAUAAACCGCUUUCGCCUGUGACGAAGCGUGAGUGACGGUAAUGGGUAAGGAAGCACCGGCUAACUACGUG
rnacentral:rRNA from 1 species